rnacentral:miRNA from 7 species
UCUCAGGGUUCUGAAGGAGCUGGCUGAGGUGGUUGCCGAGCCGCUCUCCAUCAUAUUUGAGAAGUCAUG